CCUACGGGAGGCAGCAGUGGGGAAUAUUGGGCAAUGGGCGCAAGCCUGACCCAGCAACGCCGCGUGAAGGAAGAAGGCUUUCGGGUUGUAAACUUCUUUUAGGAGGGAAGAGCAGAAGACGGUACCUCUUGAAUAAGCCACGGCUAACUAUGUGCCAGCAGGCGCGGUAAUACGUAGGUGGCAAGCGUUGUCCGGAUUUACUGGGUGUAAAGGGCGUGAAGCCGGGCUUACAAGUCAGAUGUGAAAUCCCGGGGCUCAACCCCGGAAAGGCAUUGGAAACUUUCGGUCGUGAGUGUCGGAGAGGCAAGCGGAAUUCCUAGUGAAGCGGUGAAAUGCGUAGAUAUUAGGAGGAACACCAGUGGCGAAGGCGGCCUGCUGGACGACAACUGACGGUGAGGCGCGAAAGCGUGGGGAGCAAACAGGAUUAGAUACCCCAGUAGUC
rnacentral:rRNA from 1 species